rnacentral:rRNA from 1 species
UACGUAGGGUCCGAGCGUUAUCCGGAAUCAUUGGGCGUAAAGCGUUCGUAGGUGGCUGUGCAAGUCUGCCGUUAAAGACAGUGGCUUAACCACUGAAAGGCGGUGGAAACUGCGCAGCUAGAGUGCGGUAGGGGUAGAGGGAAUUCCCGGUGUAGCGGUGAAAUGCGUAGAUAUCGGGAAGAACACCAGUGGCGAAGGCGCUCUACUGGGCCACAACUGACGCUGAGGGACGAAAGCUAGGGGAGCGAAAGGG